GAGGGGGGACGGACUGAGGGGGGAGGUGGCGGGUGCUGUUGUAUCCCUGGCCACCCGACGCGUGGGGGCCAGUCCGGGGCGGAGCCCUGUGGGACCCGCAGCCAGGAGCAGGAUGUCCUUGUGUCCUCAGUGAGAAAAUUGCAAUGUGACUGUUUUCCGACUGCUGCUGGGUGACCCGGCCUAGACCACUGUGCCUCCAGGGGAUCCGGUCACAUCUGCGUCCUCUGCUCAGCAGAUACCUUCCUCGUCUCCUCCUCUUAGCCAGCCCCUCCCCGCACCGUGCUCCCGGAGCUCCUCUGCAGCCCUCCCGCCUCCCCAGGGCUCUUCCUGAGAAGGAGGAGGCUCACAGGGCCUCCAGCGCCAGCAGCCUCUCCGGCCCCCAAACGCUAUAGGUCUUUCCUGAGCCAUCUACUCUGUUCCAAGCAAUUGGUAGAAAGUCUUUUCCAUAGAGCGGCCGGGCAUUUACAUCCGUAUUGUCCCUGCUGGUCCAGCUUCUGUCUCCGGAGCCGGGAGUAGGGGUACUGUUGUGCCCCUCACUCCCACCCCAGUGUCUCUACUGCCUGCACCCCCAGCUUAGCGCCUCUCCCCGCAGAUUCCCUGAGGGGUCUACCCCGCCACGCCCUGGCCGUUCGCCGACCGGCCUCUAGGUGGCGCUGCCUAUCUGGUGUACCUGCCCGCGUCCCGCCCGCACAACCUCAGCUCGACCCAAGGCUCCCCUGGGCCCUCUUGGGGGCCAGGAGCUGGGGCUGGAGAUUGGAGAUGCGGACCUUAACAAGGCCCAGACUUUGUUUUUUUUUUUUUUUUUUGGGGGGGGGGCUCUGAGUCUCAUUUGGUUGUCCAGUUGAUCGAUUAUUACAAUAUAGUCUUUGAUCCCACGGGGAAAUGUGGGGCUCCGGAAGCUUUUUUUUUCUUUUUUUUUUUUGAGAAGUCAUCUGGAUGCCUUUAAAAACUGUUUCCACAUGGCAGAAGCAGUCGUGAAUUUUGGAGAAUUCAGUAAAAUACCAAAGUCUACACAGCCCUCUGUGGCGCGCCUUCCCAGCCCCCGCUGGAAGGAACCACUGUCCUCAGCGGGCUGCGUAUCCCCCCCCCAGAUCAUUUUUUUUUUUUUUUUUUUUU